rnacentral:rRNA from 1 species
CGUGUAGGCGGGAAUUUAAGUAAGGUGUGAAAACUCCGGGCUCAACUUGGAGACUGCACUUUAAACUGGAUUUCUUGAGGGCAGGAGAGGAAAGUGGAAUUCCUAGUGUAGCGGUGAAAUGCGUAGAUAUUAGGAGGAACAUCAGUGGCGAAGGCGACUUUCUGGACUGCACCUGACGCUGAGGCGCGAAAGCAUGGGUAGCGAACA